rnacentral:rRNA from 1 species
GAUGAACGCUGGCGGCGUGCCUAAUACAUGCAAGUCGAGCGAACAUAUGAGGAGCUUGCUCCUCUGACGUUAGCGGCGGACGGGUGAGUAACACGUGGAUAACCUACCUAUAAGACUGGGAUAACUUCGGGAAACCGGAGCUAAUACCGGAUAAUAUAUUGAACCGCAUGGUUCAAUAGUGAAAGACGGUUUUGCUGUCACUUAUAGAUGGAUCCGCGCCGCAUUAGCUAGUUGGUAAGGUAACGGCUUACCAAGGCAACCAUGCGUAGCCGACCUGAGAGGGUGAUCGACCACACUGGAAAUGAGACAAGGUCCAGACUCCUACGGGAGGCAGCAGUAGGGAAUCUUCCGCAAUGGGCGAAAGCCUGACGGAGCAAAGCCGCGUGAGUGAUGAAGGUCUUCGGAUCGUAAAACUAUGUUAUUAGGGAAGAACAAAUGUGUAAGUAACUAUGCACGUCUUGAAGGUACCAAAUCAGAAAGCAACGGCUAACUACGUG